CGUAGGGUGCGAGCGUUGUCCGGAAUUAUUGGGCGUAAAGAGCUCGUAGGCGGUCUGUCGCGUCGGUCGUGAAAACUUGGGGCUUAACCCUGAGCUUGCGGUCGAUACGGGCAUGACUGGAGUUCGGCAGGGGAGACUGGAAUUCCUGGUGUAGCAGUGAAAUGCGCAGAUAUCAGGAGGAACACCGGUGGCGAAGGCGGGUCUCUGGGCCGAUACUGACGCUGAGGAGCGAAAGCGUGGGGAGCGAACAGGAUUAGAUACCCUGGUAGUCCACGCCGUAAACGGUGGGCGCUAGGUGUGGGGGCCAUUCCACGGUCUCUGUGCCGUAGCUAACGCAUUAAGCGCCCCGCCUGGGGAGUACGGCCGCAAGGCUA
rnacentral:rRNA from 1 species